CAGAAGCAAGCCAGAUCCUAGCCUUAGCCAAAUAAGGAGCACCUGCCAUCGGGAAGGCAGAAGCCGGAUGCCGGUGCCAUCCUUGCGGCGCGGCCGUGCACGGCUCUCUACAGGGUAGAUGUUUCGUGCCUUGGCUUCUGUUUCCUCUCUGGUUCUUAGGAGAGUGUGGUGGCUGUGUGUUGCCUGGCAGGAAAUUCUUCUGUGGUCCUAGUCCUGAUGGGUGUGGCCACUGGGGGUUCCAGGUAAAAUGUGUUUCUGCUUCCUUGGCAGGAGUGGCCUGUGUCAUACUAUAGACCUUUCAUGUUCUAGUCAGAUUCUUCAUCUUACCUGUUCUGGGGCCUUCCAUCCCAUGUCCUACUCCAGCAGGCAUUUUUCUCAGACUUCAGUGGCUUAUCACCGUUAAUUGGCUCGUCACCUUUGUGAGUGCCCUUCCUGCUUCCACUGGGUGAUCCUGCUGACGAGGGAGCCACAGCUCUGCCAUGAGAACUCUGUCGUGCAGUCAUAGCACCACAGACUGGGAGACACCCAGGGCCCAGGUGCUGGACAUGGAGGUGUUUUGCCCAACACAUUGUUUGAAGAGUUGCCGCCCAAGAAGUCAGUGUCCUAGAGGCUCAGAGAGUACAGGGAGCUCGUGGAGACUUGCGUCUGUUCAGACAAGUAUGGAAGGAAGCACUUCCUGUCAGGGUUCUGGCUUCUUGUCACAGGACACACUAAGGCUGCAAAAAGGUAUCAAAGAACUGAUUUUUGAAAGGCCCUUGGUACUCAACUGCUGUUAUAGCUUGAAGCUGGCAAGUCCCUCUGGAGCCCUGGAAGAGGACAUCUGGAGGAAGACCAUGUGUAGCCAGAGAUGCCAGUCAGCGGUGAAGAUGGAAGCUGCCAGGGUCCCAGGGCAGUCCAUGAUGAUGAACAGCUGAGGAUGCUGGGUAAUGGGGCCUUACAAGGUGUCCUAUUCCUCCUUUGGCCAGUAGAGGCUUGCAGCUGUGAA